UCCUUCAUGCUAAUCUGCUGUUGCUAACGUAGCAUUUCAUUGAGGAGUUAGUCCACCAGCAAUAUGAGUAUACUGCUGGAGGCCUGUUCUGUGGGAGAACGAGUUUGAUGUUCUGGCUGUAUCACCAGUGAAGUUUGAACGACACCUGGAGGGGAUUUUUAGGCUCUCUGUGCCUCCAUGAGUUCAACAAGAAUAUCCAAAGCCUGCUGUCUGCUGCUUCUGCAUCAUCAGUGGAGCCAAGGGCCAAGGUGUGGUGGGUUAAGCUGACCCCAUUCCUGCAAGAUCAUUCAAUGAGCUCAUGCGAAUGUGAGGCAUCUGUCAUCAGUCUGUCCUUCCACAAUUCACAAAAGCCACCACUCCUCAAGAGCAAUGGGCCUUGUACCCGGCGCAGUUGAUGGUUAAUUUUGGGUGCAGUCCCCGUUCGUGUGCCUGUUGGUGGUGAAAUGGUUUUCAUGCAGGUGACCAAAUUGUCUAACCGGACAUAGGUCGAGUGCCGUACUGAAACAGACUCCCUGAGAAGAUGGUGCAACCUGCCAGAGGGUCCUGAAAAAUGCAAACACACACACAAAAGAUUGCAUGCGUUACUGUACCUUAGGAUACAAACUCUAACAGGAUAGUUUCUUGCUGUGUGCUGGAUCACACGAGCAGCUGACUCCCACACAGUGACCAGAAAAGAUGAACCUGCAUAAGAGAAACAGCACCUCUGCUCGUGUGUAAAAUGUGCUCCACUUUCCCUCCAGAGUUAGAAAACAUGGAUUUAAAAAAAAAAAAAUCCAGCCUUCAACAAGUGACCACAAAGAUAAUAGGGAAUACAAAGACCGCUGAGAAAUAAAGCAGGGGGCUUGCUCAUUAGGUAAUGUCCUUGUACAUUCCCAAAGAUGACCUCAUUCAUGCACUGUGUGCAUCAUCAAAGUCUGUUGGCUGUCCCGCCUGUGUGCAUGUUUAAACAAUGUCAAAACUCUGAUGUACUCAUUUCUUACUUUGUCCAUCCUGCUCACUCCCAAUAAAACCUUUAACUCCUGUCUUUUUGUCAGUGCCACCAUCUCCAAACCACACGUCAUGG